UAGAUGUUAAAAACACUGAUAAAAGUUUCUUCAUCACGCGUUUAUAAAGUGCCAACACAUAACAACAAGAAGAAUUAGAGUAUUGAGUGCCAAAGAAAUCUUAGCGGCGGACGGGUGAGUAACACGUGGGCAACCUGCCUUGGAGUGGGGGAUAACACCGGGAAAUCGGUGCUAAUACCGCAUAACAUACACAAGCUGCAUGGUAUGUGUAUCAAAGGAGCAAUCCGCUUUAAGAUGGGCCCGCGGCUGAUUAGCUAGUUGGUAAGGUAACGGCUUACCAAGGCGACGAUCAGUAGCCGACCUGAGAGGGUGACCGGCCACACUGGAACUGAGACACGGUCCAGACUCCUACGGGAGGCAGCAGUGGGGAAUAUUGCACAAUGGGGGAAACCCUGAUGCAGCGACGCCGCGUGGAGGAAGAAGUCCUUCGGGAUGUAAACUUCUGAACUAGCCGAAUAAAAGGCCUGUGGACACACAGGAGAAGAAAGUAGGCUAGGAAAAGUCCCGGCUAACUACGUG
rnacentral:rRNA from 1 species